UGUUUUCUCCAGGAGUGGCAAUCGGCUUGUGAUUGUCAUUGAUAGUUUAAAUCACUCCUCCCUUUGGAGAUAGAGGUAUUUAAAUAGGAAAAAGGAAUUAGCAGUGUUCCGGGGCACAGAAAUGCAUGCUGCGGGGCCAGCUCUGUGGCCAAGUGGUUAAGUUCUCAUGCUCUGCUUUCGUGGCCUGGGGUUUGCCAGUUCAGAUCCUGGGUGCAGACCUACGCACUGUUCGUCAAGCCAUGCUCUGGCAGCAUCCCACAUAGGAGAACUAGAAUGACCUAUAACUAGGUACUGGGGCUUUGGGGGAGAGAGAAAAAAAAAAGAGGAAGAUUGGCAAUAGAUGUUAGCUCAGGGCCAAUCUUCCUCACCAAAAAAAAGAGAAAUGGAUAUAGCCUAUGCAAAUAAAAGUGAGCAGUAAUAAAACAGCUGAGAUUUAUGUAGUUCUUACAGAAUAGACCAGGCAAGGUUCUAAGUGCUCUACAUAAACUCAGCCUAGUUUCCCUAAAGCCCAGGUUUUAUGAAGGAGAGGACCAAGAGAUAGGGUAUGAAAAAAUUUUGAAUGCUAGACAAGAAAUUUUUCCUGUAGGCAAUGUGGGAAAAGUGGAGGUUUUUGAGCGAAGAAUUAUAUGUGCAAAAAAAUGUCAUGGAAGAUUAUUUCAGUUGCAGUAUAUAGGAUGUAAUGAACAUGGUAGGGGAAAAGGAAGCUGAGAGACUACUUGUAAACUAGAUUUUAGUAACUAGAAGUAGAAGAAAAACAGGGAUAAAGAUGGAAUUCAAGGAUUUUGGGGGUUUUUACUGUGGGUGCCUAAAAGUUAUCUAACACUUAUUGAGCAUAUUAAUUAUGCUGCCUUUGGCAAGAAGUCUGCUUUCUUGAGGUGUCAGCUGAUAGUUGAUAGUCAUUUCAGUUUGAUGACGAGGGCAUUACCUGCCUCAAAUGUAUGACACCACAUUUAUUCAGUUUUGUAUCAUUUGCUGCUUUAUUAUUUCAGAAUAUGAGAAAGUACAAAGAUGGGCUUGAAGGGUGGGCCCAGUUCUUAAUGAAAUAUUUUACAUUUUAGGGGUCGUACAUCUUUUAAAUUGAUGUAUCUAACAGCAUAUCUCAGUUUGGAUUGGCCACAUUUCAGGUACUCACCAGCCAUGUGUGACUAACGGCCACCAUAAAUAGUGCAGAUUUAAAGAGAAAGGGAUGAGGUGGAAAAAUAAAACAUGCUCAGGAAGUAGGGAGCAGACCAAUUUACCUAGGCAGAGUGAUCAUUCCUGACAACAGGGGAAGUUAUGAUUGGAAAGGUAGCUUGUGAAACUUUGUGGAGGGUCUUGAAUGCCUUACUCUGAGGAGUUGGAACUUUAAGUUAACAAGUAUCCUUGAGGUUGUUGAGUUCUUAAUUGUAACACAGGUAAAGGAGAGCUUAAGGAGUGCCAGAUAUGUGUUACUAAAUCUAAACCCCAUCGGGUUUUUAGGAGGGCCAGAAAGGUCUCAAAAUCUAUUCCCAAUGCUCUGGGAUACAGAGCAUGAGUGGUGGGGUCCUGACCAAAAUCAAGUGAAUCCUUGUUGGAUCUGGGAUCUGUUAAAUAGCUACAGGGGUUACUGGAUCCUUCCUGAUCCUCCACGUAUUGGAGAGCUCCUUUAUACCUCUGAGUUGGGUCAAAUAGAUUUUGAUAUUAGACUGUGAAUACCAUCAGUGUUCCCAAACUGUAAGAAUUAGUCCCAAGGGUUUCGUCCGGUCACUUGUUCUCUUUUUAGAGAACCCCCUAAUUCAGCCAACAAUAUAUUAGGAUUAUUGUAAAUGCUACAAAUGUAAUCCUCCCACCCACUUCACUUACCAAUUUAAUAUGGUCCCCCUAACUUGGUAAAAAAAAAAAAAAAAUGCUGAUCUCCUAACUAGCCUUCAAAUGUACAUUUGCCCAGUGCCUCACAAUUUACAAAAUGCUUUCACACCUAUUUCAUGUAAUGAUGAAGUAAUGACUGCUUUUUACACACCAGGGAACAAAAAGAGGCUGUGGAGUUAAAAUUGCAGGGAAAAGAACAUAAUUUAGGCCUAAAACCUUUAAUAGCAACAAUCACCUGAUUAGUAUGCAGUAAUGGAAAGAACAAGGGGAUUGACGAUAGAAAACAAGACACAGGUUUGAGAUCCCGUUUGACCUGUUAAUGGCUGGUGAUCUUGAGGCAAGUCACCUCUCUGAACCUUAGCUCUGUCUCCUAAAAAGAUGAUGAUACCUCACAGGGUGUGGUGAGGGUCAGAUGACACAUGCAUGUGCAAGGGGUUUAUAAACUGAAGUGUGGUGAAAGUAUUUCUACUAGUAGUAUCUGGUCUGCCCCAUGCUACUGACAUGCUAACUUGAUUUUAGGCUCAUAAUUUAAUGCCCUUUAAUUUCUUCUUUAAAAUGAGGGAAUUAGAGCAGAUGGUUUUCUUGAGAUUUCUUUUAACUCCAAAUCCCUAAUUUUGCCAUGAGAUAAGUGGCGGCUCAUCUUUGAGAUUUUUUUAAGUCAUUUGGUUGACUAUCUGGAGAAAGAGAUGGCUAGAGCGUUGUUACUUUUACUUACAGGUUUUGCCCAGAAUAGUCCCAGUUGUCUUGGUGUAAUUUCCCUCUCAACCCUAUCCCUUUUUGGAGGUAUAUAUGCUCACCUAUGUAAAACUUUGAUAUAAGGAAAAAAGACUUCGUAAUAAACACAGAAUGGAAGGUCUUGAGGGAAAUAGUCUGUUUGCCGUUAAUGUUGUACCAGUUGGCUAGCUACUUGGCUAGAUGCUGUCUAAGGGGAUUUGAGUAAAUACGUGGGUAGGAA
ensembl:lncRNA